UUGGUGUGAAUUGCAGAAUCCCGUGAACCAUCGAGUCUUUGAACGCAAGUUGCGCCCGAAGCCUCCCGGCCGAGGGCACGUCUGCCUGGGUGUCACGC
rnacentral:rRNA from 1 species